rnacentral:rRNA from 1 species
GAUGAACGCUGGCGGUGUGCCUAAUACAUGCAAGUCGAGCGAACAGACGAGGAGCUUACUCCUCUGACGUUAGCGGCGGACGGGUGAGUAACACGUGGAUAACCUACCUAUAAGACUGGGAUAACUUCGGGAAACCGGAGCUAAUACCGGAUAACAUGUUGAACCGCAUGGUUCAACAGUGAAAGACGGUCUUGCUGUCACUUCUAGAUGGAUCCGCGUCGCAUUAGCUAGUUGGUAAGGUAACGGCUUACCAAGGCAACGAUGCGUAGCCGACCUGAGAGGGUGAUCGGCCACACUGGAACUGAGACACGGUCCAGACUCCUACGGGAGGCAGCAGUAGGGAAUCUUCCGCAAUGGGCGAAAGCCUGACGGAGCAACGCCGCGUGAGUGAAGAAGGUCUUCGGAUCGUAAAACUCUGUUAUUAGGGAAGAACAAAUGUGUAAGUAACUAUGCACGUCUUGACGGUACCUAAUCAGAAAGCCACGGCUAACUACGUG